rnacentral:lncRNA from 1 species
CUUUUUUUUUCUCCACUCCUUGUUACAUGCUUCCCUCUCUCUACACAGAAAGCAAUCGCAGAUAAGCAGAUUAAUAUGUGGGAUAGCUCCUCUUCAUUGUUCUGAGCAGCACUUCCAGCUUUUCAUAGCCAGUUGGACUUGUUAGGAGGAGCUAAAUGAUUGGUUGUUUCCUGGGCUCCGUUUCAUAAAUUAUAGCCCAGCAUGCACGAGCAUGAUUCCUACAGUUGCAGUAAUCCAGAGGCCUGUCAGUUCCUGACUUUAUGCAUGUUUAUUCCUACUUGUUUUAUAAUAUUGCACUGGAAUUUCCUGUCUUAGAUAGUUUGCUAUUGCAUCUUCAGGACUCUGUUGGACUUUGCAUAGCUGUGUUGUGAACCGGGGGAAGACAGGAUAAAUUUCUACAUACUGUCCUUGCUUCUUCAGUUGCUGCCUUCUGUUGUGUUAGAAUUUUACCCGAUGCAAGCCAUAUCCUUCUGCCUGGGCCAAGACAAACUCCUCAGCUGUUAGGUGGUGAAGUUAAGUUAUUGUCCUUGGUAAGUAUGUGUUGCUUUCCAGAGGAAAAUUUUAAUUUGUUCCUGUUGGUAUCCUGGUACAAAGUUAGAGUUUUUAG